rnacentral:rRNA from 1 species
GAAACGACUGCUAAGACUGGAUAGGAGAUAAGAAGGCAUCUUUUUAUUUUUAAAAGACCUAGCAAUAGGUAUGCUUAGGGAAGAGCUUGCGUCACAUUAGUUAGUUGGUGGGGUAAUGGCCUACCAAGACGAUGAUGUGUAGCCGGGCUGAGAGGUCGAACGGCCACAUUGGGACUGAGACACGGCCCAAACUCCUACGGGAGGCAGCAGUAAGGAAUUUUCGGCAAUGGAGGAAACUCUGACCGAGCAAUGCCGCGUGAACGAUGAAGUAUUUCGGUACGUAAAGUUCUUUUAUUAGGGAAGAAAAGAUGGUGGAAAAACCAUUAUGACGGUACCUAAUGAAUAAGCCCCGGCUAACUAUGUGCCAGCAGCCGCGGUAAUACAUAGGGGGCAAGCGUUAUCCGGAAUUAUUGGGCGUAAAGGGUGCGUAGGCGGUUAAAUAAGUUUAUGGUCUAAGUGCAACGCUCAACGUUGUGAUGCUAUAAAAACUGUUUAGCUAGAGUUGGAUAGAGGCAAGUGGAAUUCCGUGUGUAGUGGUAAAAUGCGUAAAUAUACGGAGGAACACCAGAAGCGAAGGCGGCUUGCUGGGUCUUAACUGACGCUGAGGCACGAAAGCGUGGGGAGCAAACAGGAUUAGAUACCCUGGUAGUCCACGCCCUAAACGAUGAGUACUAAACGUUGGAUAAAACCAGUGUUGAAGUUAACACAUUAAGUACUCCGCCUGAGUAGUACGUACGCAAGUAUGAAACUUAAAGGAAUUGACGGGACUCCGCACAAGCGGUGGAUCAUGUUGUUUAAUUCGAAGGUACCCGAAAAACCUCACCAGGUCUUGACAUGCUUUUGCAAAGCUGUAGAAAUACAGUGGAGGUUAUCAGAAGCACAGGUGGUGCAUGGUUGUCGUCAGCUCGUGUCGUGAGAUGUUGGGUUAAGUCCCGCAACGAGCGCAACCCUUGUUGUUAAUUGCCAUCAUUAAGUUGGGGACUUUAGCAAGACUGCCAAUGAUAAAUUGGAGGAAGGUGGGGACGACGUCAAAUCAUCAUGCCCCUUAUGACCUGGGCUACAAACGUGAUACAAUGGCUGUUACAAAGGGUAGCUAAAGCAUAAGCUUCUGGCGAAUCUCAAAAAAGCAGUCUCAGUUCGGAUUGAAGUCUGCAACUCGACUUCAUGAAGUUGGAAUCGCUAGUAAUCGCGAAUCAGCAUGUCGCGGUGAAUACGUUCUCGGGGUUUGUACACACCGCCCGUCA